rnacentral:rRNA from 1 species
UACGAAGGGGGCGAGCGUUGUUCGGAUUUACUGGGCGUAAAGGGCGCGUAGGCGGCCCUCCUAGUCGCGUGUGAAAGCCCCGGGCUCAACCUGGGAACGGCGCGCGAAACGGGGGGGCUGGAGUUCGGAAGAGGAGCGUGGAAUUCCCAGUGUAGAGGUGAAAUUCGUAGAUAUUGGGAAGAACACCGGUGGCGAAGGCGGCGCUCUGGACCGAGACUGACGCUGAGGCGCGGAAAGCGUGGGGAGCAAACGGG